rnacentral:rRNA from 1 species
AAUCCGACCUAGGCUCAUCUCAGAGUGUGAGGCCUUACGGUCCCCCACUUUGGUCUUUCGACAUCAUGCGGUAUUAAUCCGGGUUUCCCCGGGCUAUCCCCCGCUCUAAGGUAGAUUCCUAUGUAUUGCUCACCCGUCCGCCGCUCGCCGGCACCCUUGCGGGCCCGCUGCCGUUCGACUUGCAUGUGUUAAGCACGCCGCCAGCGUUCAAUCUGAGCCAGGAUCAAACUCU